GUCGCAAAUAGAUUUGUAUGCCUA
rnacentral:siRNA from 1 species